GUGGAGGAAUGCCCUGAUUUUGAAAUACACAUAACAAUGUGUGAUGAUGAUCCGCCCACACCUGAGGAAGACUCAAAAACGCAGUCUGAUGAGGAAGAAGAAUAAGUUUCUCCACCAGAAGUGGGAGCUGCCAUUAAGAUCAUCCAGCAGUUAAUGGAAAAGUUUAACUCGGAUCUGUCAACAGUUACGCAGGCCUUCCUAAAACAUAGUGGUGAGCUGGAGGCUACUACUUCCUUUUUAGAGUCUGGUCACAGGGCUGAUGGGUAUCCCAUUUGGUCCCAACAGGAUGACUUAGAUUUGCAAAAACAUG